UACGUAGGGUGCGAGCGUUAAUCGGAAUUACUGGGCGUAAAGCGUGCGCAGGCGGUUUUGUAAGUCAGAUGUGAAAUCCCCGGGCUUAACCUGGGAACUGCGUUUGAAACUACAAGGCUAGAGUGUGGCAGAGGGGGGUGGAAUUCCACGUGUAGCAGUGAAGUGCGUAGAGAUGUGGAGGAACACCGAUGGCGAAGGCAGCCCCCUGGGUUAACACUGACGCUCAGGCACGAAAGCGUGGGGAGCAAACAGG
rnacentral:rRNA from 1 species